CAGAGGCUGAUCUUCCGGCUCCUCAAGUUGGAGGUGCAGUUCAUCAUCACAGGAACCAACCACCACUCAGAGAAGGAAUUCUGCUCCUACCUCCAGUAUUUGGAAUACUUAAGCCAGAACUGCCCUCCACCCAAUGCCUAUGAGCUCUUUGCCAAGGGCUACCAGGACUAUUUGCAGUCCCCCCUCCAGCCGCUGAUGGACAAUCUAGAAUCUCAGACAUAUGAAGUGUUUGAAAAGGACCCCAUCAAAUACUCUCAGUACCAGCAGGCCAUCUAUAAAUGUCUGCUAGACCGAGUACCAGAAGAAGAGAAGGAUAUUAACGUCCAGGUGCUGAUGGUGCUGGGAGCAGGCUGGGGUCCCCUUGUGAAUGCUUCCCUGCGGGCUGCUAAACAGGCUGACUGGCGGAUAAAGCUGUAUGCCGUGGAGAAGAACCCGAAUGCUGUGGUGACGCUAGAGAACUGGCAGUUUGAAGAAUGGGGAAGCCAGGCGACAGUAGUCUCAUCAGACAUGAGAGAAUGGGUGGCUCCAGAGAAAGCAGACAUAAUUGUCAGCGAGCUUCUGGGCUCCUUUGCUGACAAUGAGCUGUCGCCUGAAUGUCUGGACGGAGCACAGCACUUCCUGAAAGAUGACGGUGUGAGCAUCCCCGGGGAGUACACGUCCUUCCUGGCUCCCAUCUCCUCCUCCAAGCUGUACAACGAGGUCCGAGCCUGUCGGGAAAAGGACCGUGACCCUGAGGCCCAGUUUGAGAUGCCUUAUGUGGUACGGCUGCACAACUUCCACCAGCUCUCUGCACCCCAACCCUGUUUCACCUUCAGCCACCCCAACAGAGAUCCUCUGGUUGACAACAACCGCUACUGCACCUUGGAGUUUCCUGUGGAGGUGAACACGGUGCUGCAUGGCUUUGCAGGCUACUUCGAGACUGUGCUUUAUCAGGACAUCACUCUGAGUAUCCGUCCAGAGACUCACUCUCCUGGGAUGUUCUCAUGGUUUCCCAUCCUCUUUCCUAUUAAGCAGCCCAUUACGGUGCAUGAAGGCCAGACCAUCUGUGUGCAUUUCUGGCGAUGUAGCAGUUCCAAGAAGGUGUGGUAGGAGUGGGCCGUGACAGCUCCGGUCUGUUCUGCGAUCCACAACUCCACCGGCCGCUCCUAUACCACUGGCCUCUAGGCCUGGGUGCAAGCAUCUAGAGCCUUGGAAGCAGCUGUGGGCUCUGCCUGGACAGCACAAAAGGUGCAGUGCACCUAGGGGUGCGGUACAUCUGUGAA